rnacentral:rRNA from 1 species
GACGAACGCUGGCGGCGUGCUUAACACAUGCAAGUCGAACGGUGAACCUCUUCGGAGGGGAUCAGUGGCGAACGGGUGAGUAACACGUGGGCAACCUGCCCCCGGCUCUGGGAUAACUCCAAGAAAUUGGGGCUAAUACCGGAUGUUCACCGCUUCCCGCAUGGGUGGUGGUGGAAAGGGUUUCCGGCUGGGGGUGGGCCCGCGGCCUAUCAGCUUGUUGGUGGGGUAUUGGCCUACCAAGGCGACGACGGGUAGCCGGCCUGGGAGGGUGACCGGCCACACUGGGACUGGGACACGGCCCAGACUCCUAGGGGAGGCAGCGGGGGGGAAUAUGGCGCAAUGGGCGGAAGCCUGACGCAGCGACGCCGGGUGGGGGAUAACGGCCUUCGGGUGGAAAACCUCUUUCAGCAGGAACGAAGCGCAAGUGACGGUACCUGCAGAAGAAGCACCGGCCAACUACGUG